AGAGUUUGAUCCUGGCUCAGAAUCAACGCUGGCGGCGUGCCUAACACAUGCAAGUCGCACGAGAAAGGGUAGCAAUACCUGAGUACAGUGGCGCACGGGUGAGUAACACGUGAAUUAUCUACCUCCGAGUGGGGAAUAACUGAGAGAAAUCUUAGCUAAUACCGCAUAACACUUACGAGUCAAAGCAGCAAUGCGCUUGGAGAGGAGUUCGCGGCAGAUUAGUUAGUUGGCGGGGUAAUGGCCCACCAAGACGAUGAUCUGUAUCCGGCCUGAGAGGGCGCACGGACACACUGGAACUGAAACACGGUCCAGACUCCUACGGGAGGCAGCAGUGGGGAAUUUUGCGCAAUGGGGGAAACCCUGACGCAGCAACGCCGCGUGGAGGAUGAAAUAUCUUGGUAUGUAAACUCCUUUCGAUGGGGAAGAUUAUGACGGUACCCAUAGAAGAAGCCCCGGCUAACUUCGUGCCAGCAGCCGCGGUAAUACGAGGGGGGCAAGCGUUGUUCGGAUUUAUUGGGCGUAAAGGGUGCGUAGGCGGUUUGGCAAGUCUUAUGUGAAAUCUUCGGGCUCAACCCGAAGCCUGCAUAAGAAACUGCCGGGCUUGAGUAUGGGAGAGGUGAGUGGAAUUUCCGGUGUAGCGGUGAAAUGCGUAGAUAUCGGAAGGAACACCUGUGGCGAAAGCGGCUCACUGGACCAUAACUGACGCUGAUGCACGAAAGCUAGGGGAGCAAACAGGAUUAGAUACCCCCGUAGUCC
rnacentral:rRNA from 1 species